AAAAAUAGGAGUAAAAUUUGUCUCUUGUUUCUGCAGAAAUUUCUCUUGAAUUGAUUGGUUUUGUUCACCAUUUCGAUUCAACUGUGCUACUCUUCGACAUCACUUUCUUUGAAAAAAAUCUGGUUCUUGAGAUUACAGCACAAUGAGCUGGAGUGCGAUUUCGAGACGAGGUAUGAAAAAGGAAUUCGCUUGAGUUGACAAUGACAACGACAUAAAUAGCGAUGACAAGAAAUAGGCAUUUUGCCAAUUUGAUGUUGAACGGAAGCGGGAGAAAACACUUGAAGGAGUAUCCUGUUGAUCUGAAGUAUGAAAAAGGAAAGGGAUUGAGUUGGAUUUGGAACGAAACGGUAGAAAGCGUGUGAGAUUCACUGAUUGUGUAGGCAAUCAUCUGAUUCAUUAGCCGCUGCAGAGGAAGAUGCCGUGGAGAUAU
rnacentral:sRNA from 1 species